rnacentral:rRNA from 1 species
GGGCCCGCACAAGCGGUGGAGCAUGUGGUUUAAUUCGAUGAUACGCGAGGAACCUUACCAGGGUUUAAAUGCAGAACGACAGGGGUGGAAACACCCCCUUCUUCGGACGGACUGCAAGGUGCUGCAUGGUUGUCGUCAGCUCGUGCUGUGAAGUGUCGGGUUAAGUCCCAUAACGAGCGCAACCCCCAUUUCUAGUUGCCAGCGGUUCGGCCGGGGACUCUAGAGAAACUGCCAGCGUAAGCUGUGAGGAAGGUGGGGAUGACGUCAAAUCAUCACGGCCCUUACAUCCUGGGCCACACACGUGCUACAAUGGUGGGGACAACAGGUUGCCAACCCGCGAGGGUGAGCCAAUCCCAAAACCCCAUCUCAGUUCGGAUCGGAGUCUGCAACUCGACUCCGUGAAGUUGGAAUCGCUAGUAAUCGCGGAUC